UUCUAGGGACUCACGAGUAUUUACAGGCAGGUAAUGGUUGCUAGGGGAGGGAAAGGCGUAGUGGUGUGCCACUGAUAAGUGAUCCACACUCCUGAAAGAAACCAAAGGAAUCGGUUGGGGCUCCCGCACCCCAGGCCGCCCACCAGCUUUCAGAGGACAAAGACGUUCUUGAACAGCCUAACAGAAGAGGGGCGCAGACUUCAGCAGAUUACAAAUUAAAAGCAUUCUGGCAGACCUGAGUCACAGACGGAUAAUGACCUCUGUCAGUGAGCACUCCCAUCAAGGUAGAGAGACAGCCCACCCUGAGCAACUGAGGAGAGUGUAUUACAGGCUCCUUGACCUGUGGAUUUGGGGCCAACUUUGCUGUCUCCACCUCCCGUCCCAAAGGAGGAGUCCUGGGAUUACAGACAA